CUGGCGCUAUUUACUGCUGCCAUCUGUGCUUCUUCUGACGAAAAAGCAUCGAUCAUUCCCUGUGAGACCGAACCGUGUCCACCGGGCUACAAAUGCAGGUACAUUCGUUGCGUCACGCAUCCUUGCCCACAGAGCCACUGUGUAAAAGAGAAUUCUACUGAUAUUUUGUGAAGCCAAGGAACAAACUGGAUUAUGUUAGGAUGCACAAAAACAUGACCUCACAUACUUCCGAAAUGUGCAAGGUGACUGGAAUUCUAAACCCUC
rnacentral:lncRNA from 1 species